rnacentral:lncRNA from 1 species
AUGGACAGCCGGACUGAGAAUCCGACAAAGGCGGCAGGAUAUCUGAAGGAGCUGAAUAAGAUCAUAGAGACCCAGCAGACGCUGCUGGAGCGGCAGAAGAGGCGCAUCUUUGAGCUGGAGCAGCAUGUGUCCGACCUGUGCGCCGAGAACAGCCGCCUGAGGCUCGAGUACCAGCGGCAUCUGCUCACCUGCAGACUGCGCUCCAUCCGAGAGAACAGCCCGGAGCAGCAAUCAGAAUAUGGCGGUUCAAGAAUUGUCAGAAGACAUGCCUCACUUCCUGUGGAAAUGACAGACAGUCCCAACAGCCUGAGAUCAGCCGUCUGCAGGAGAACUGUGCCGUGCCGGCAAUGGAAGUCUGCGUCUUUAGGGUACAGUGAGCUCCUUAGAUCAGAUCACAUGGUUGUGUCCGCUUGUUAAUUCAAUAUGUGUGGACUACAGGUUCUAGGUUCAGGCCUCUACUCAUCUAAAUGAAAAAAAAUUGCAGUUAAAGAGUCAAGUAAAAGCUUAGAAGAAGGUUUUUGAGCCUUGAUUUUGUUUCAUAUCUUCACAUUUUUAUUCCGUGAUUGCACAGCUUCAAUUGUUAUUUGUUUUUGUGCAGAGAUAAAAGUGAGCUUGAUUUUGAUGAAGAAGUUCAGAAGCCUCCGAAC